GAGCCAAUAUCAAGGUGUUAGCAGAGCCUAGCUCCUUCCCAAGGCUCUAGAACCUUCUGUGCUCCGUGGGACUGUUGGUAGAAUUCAGUCCCCGGAGGUCAUGAAGCCAAGGCCCUGUUCCUGUGCCAGUGGUGCCUACUACAACCUACAAUCCAGCCACACGCAUGAUGAUCCUUCUUGUACCUCCCAUCUGUCUGGGAUCAUCACAUCUUUGAACAUUACAUCUCCUUGGCCAUCCUUCUGUCCUCCUCUUCCUCCUUUAAGGACUCAGGUCAAGUUAUAUGGGUAGGAUUGAGCCUGCCCUUCCCUCUUUCUCCAAGGAGAUCUCAAGAUGAGGUGUUGGAAGUUUGGGCCAUACUCAGUGACUCUCAAAGCAUGAUGUUCAACAACGGCUUGAAAUAAAUGAGGAAGACAAGCAAAACCACUGCAAGGCAUUUCGUUCCUUCCACAAGCUGCCAAAGAAAUACAGCAAUUGCCAAAGAAGAGACUUUAAUUGUUCAUAGAGAAAAAUGAGAGCUGACCAGAUCGACACAGAGUUACUGUGAUGCUUUAUGAAGACCUGGCAAUUCCCUCAGGUCACAGACCCAGCAAUUACUGUAAUCCCCAGCCUAUACAUAGAUGGACUUUGUGUAGAGGGAGGGGACUUCUGAAGAGAACCCCAAAUGAUAAUAGUGGCAUUUAACAUAGAACACACUUUGUAUUUUUUUCUAUGCUUCCUCACCUUUGUUAUAAAAAUGCACCUUUUCCAAAGAAUUCAGAUUCAGUGAAAAAUGGGUUAAAGCAAUCUGAGAGGAGCUCCGAACCAACACAAUGCAGGAGACUAGACAUUUUGUUGCCAAUAGCUGCCUGAACACUCAAAUGAAGCAUUCUGCGGUGGCACAUGGUGCACCUGGCAUGCACCAUCUGACAUGCAUGUUGGUAUGCACAUCUCACAUAUUCACUAGAGCGCUGUAUGGCUGGCACCUAUACUUUCUUCUGUACUUAUAGUGAACAAUGGAUGACUUUUUAUAACUUCAGUGACAGUACAUAACAUUUUCAUUUUAAGUAGAGUCCAGGAGAAAGUAAAGAAUCUUACAGCUCAUGGGAGUGCUAAUUGGAGCCAAUUAUAAUUUGAUUGACCCGCCUUGCUAUUAAAAUGAUAUGCAAAAUUUACACUGCCCUUGCAAAAUGGAAAUUUUCUUCAGAACAAGCUAACGAGAGGAAGCCCACCCUUUAAUGAAUCCAGAGGUGGUACUUUUGGGCUAUAAUUCCCACAUCAACCCUCACAAGCUAAUUCUGGAGAGGGGCUGUAGAGGGCUGCAAAUGAUACAAAAGAACCCUGUAGAUGGGGAAAAUGUGCAAUAAAAUAACUGAAGUAAUUAAGGACUAGGGAAUAAAGGAACAGCAUCACAAUAACUGUCCAUUCCUCAUUAGGUCUCAUUUUCUUUUAUGAAAAUUUAAACUCUUUUUAAGAAAUGUCAUGGGGCUGAACUGUUCUCUUGCUGUGUGGCUGAUUUUUUAGAGGCAGAAUAAAAUGUCCAUUUUCAGCGGUAAAUAGAAAUGAGGUCAUUAGCAGAAGAUGAAGUCACCCUGCCACAUUGUCUUCUUACCAGGGAUAAUAAAUGACCCCUUAGGACAUUGGAGAAAUUUAUGCUUUAUUCCUGUCUUGCUUACACCCAUGUAUACACCCACAUGGAGCACUGGCCCUCGGUAUCAGUUGCACAUCAAACCUUUCAUCAAAGCAAAUUCAGCACCAUUUUAAAAGGAAGCUCCAUCUUUCUGAUCUAAAUUUUCCAAAUGACUAGAUAAAUAAAAGGUGAUGGUUUCAUUGUCAAUUACACUAUGGAAACAGUGCAAAAGCACCUGACUUUUAAGAAAUAGUGGCUAUUUAAUAUUUGAUUAGAAAAGGGCAAGCAAUUAAGCCUGAAUAUCUGAAAUAAACAUGGGAAUGAGGAAAAGUGAUACCCAAAUAAAUCAAUAAUAAAAAGUAAUUCCUGUGUGUCCUCCUACUUAGGAGGGCUCUGUCAAUGCUAAUUUCUUUGGACUCAAAGGAUAGGCUGGAGAUUUCACACAGCAUCAAGUUCAAGUCAGAUACAGAAGGCACUUAACAGGCUCUGAGGAAAGUGGUAGAAAACAGAGUUGAAAAAUCAGCAUUUGUGCUACCUCAAGGUCUCUGCUUCUUAUGCAAAGUAAUAAAUAUGUACUCUUACACACACAUUGGUUCGCUGCCCCCACAGUUUCUAGGCCUCCACUGUCUCCGCUAUGCAGAGAUAUAAGGAAAGAUCUAUAUCUAUCUCACCAUUGCACUGUAGAAAUUCCUUGCAAAGUCUGGGAAACAAAUGACAGCAGCACUUUCUGCAGUUUUAAUAAUUCAGCCCUAAGAAAAGGCUGUUGGUGUUAAACAGGAUAUGUGUGCAUGUGUGUGACCACUCAAUUUCAAAUUUCUCAGAAAUGUCUUAUUUGUGUUGUGUUUGAACCUUAUGGGAACUUUUCAGCUCUUUAAUUUUAAUUGACAAUAACUAUAUAUUUUUAAAUGAGAUAUGACAUGAUUUUCCAUAGAGGUAUAUAAUGUGAAAUGGUUAAAUCAAGCUGAUUACCGUAUCUAUUAGAUCACUAUCAUACUUAUCAUAAUUUAUAAGUAUCAUAGUUAUCAUUAGUAAAAGUACCAUAUACUAAAUAUUUCAUGGUGAGAACAUUUAAAAUCUACUCUUUGGGCAACUCUGAAUUGUAAGAUACCUUAUUUUUAACAAUGCAAUAGAUCUCAAAAUCAUAAUCCUCUGUCUAAUGGAAUGAAACUUCUCUCCCUUCGACCAAUCUGCCCAUUCCCCUGUUUCACACGUGGUAACCCACCAUUCUACUCUCUGCUCCUAUAAUUUCUAUUUUUUAGAUUCUACAUAUUACUGAGAUCAUGUAGACUUUGUCUGUCUGUGCAUGGCUUAUUUCACUUAGCAUAAGGUCCUCCAGUUCCGAACAUUCAGUUGCAAAUGACAGAAUUCACUUCUUCUUAAAGACGGAAUGUUAUUCCUUUGUGUAUACAUACCACAUUUUCUGGUCCCUCUACCAGUUGAAGGGUGGAUUCCAUAUCCUGGUCCUUGUGAAAGAUGCUGCCAUGGACAUGGGAAGGUACCUCUGUCUCCAGAAAUGGUCUCAUUCUCAUCUUUGAUUGCAACUAUUUACCACACUGACCAACCAGCAUAUCGAUCAAAUCUUCAUACUGCUAUUACUUUACAUUAGAUGCCUUUUUAUUAAUCUCUCCCUCUUUAUUAUACACCAUAAUCAAUGUAAAGAAUAUUUUCUGGACAAGGAAAGAUUCAUGACUAAAGGAAUGAAUCUUUGUAGCAUACUCACAAUUUCUAUUUUCUUUUUGGGAAAAAAAGAAAAAUGAAAGAAAUUAAUUCAAUUAGUAAAUACAAAUGUUGCUAUAGUUCAGGGACAACUGUAAAUAGAACCAUCAUACUUAAUUAAAUAUUUGGAUUGGUUUAAAAGAGUAUUCUCCUUUAUAACCACUGAGAGCUACUUUAUAACAAUUGAGAGUAACCCAGUCUCCCUUCCACUAUUUGCAUUGAUCAGGAACAAGGAACAGUUAGAUGAAACUUAGCUAGAAAAUAAUAUGUUUCUUUUAUUCUAUCCACACCUUUUACUUAUGAGCCUCUUGAAAAUGAUGGCUGUUUAUAUCACAUGAGAUUCUUUAAUGUUUUUCUGAUCUAAAAUUGAUUUCUACUAGUAGUUGUCUACUCUUGAAGUUAAAAGGGCUUUCCUUAUCUCUUAUUUAUCAAAAUUCCCCCUUAUAGUUUACUAAUAUGUCAUUUUCAGUAACAGACCAAUAUGCUGUGUUAGCCAAUAAAGGCAUAUAAGUAAGAAUGGGUGGCAUUUGGAGGUGGGCUGUGACCAGGCAACAUUGUAACUACAUGGUUCUGUAUAAGGCAACAUUGUAACCAUGGGAUUCUCUAAUGCUGGGUCCUGCAUUGCACAAAUCUCAGGCGACUGUUUCUGGCUAAUGGAUUAGUGACCUUUCUACUCAAUUCUCAAGGAGAAAACUAUUCUGAUUCAUGCUCUAAUGCAAAAAAAAAAAAAAAGAAAAUAUAAUGCUUCAGUAUGAUUUGCAAACUGUAGAGCAAGUAUCCAUUGAGGUAGGUAGAGUUUAAAAAAGAAAGAAAGAAAGAAAAAGAAAAGAAUUCAACUUAAAAUAGGCAGCUGAGCUCAUUUUGUCCCAGGCAAAAAGGUUUCAAAAUUCAUGCCAUAACUCUCAAUUGUUAAAAAGGGAAUGGCCUUUUAAAGUGACCCGAAUAUUUAAUAUAAUCUAAGUAUUGUGGUUCCAUUUACAGUUGACCCUAAAUUGAAGUAGUUUAUAUUUAGUAAUUCAAUUAAUUCCUGUCAUUUGCAUUCCCCCCCAAAAGAAACAACUUAAAAUAGAAUGUAAAAACACCUGUGCUUUUCUUUAAAAAUUUUUUUGUCGACUCCAAAUAUAUUUACCUGAAACAAUACCAAGAAAGAAAAAAAAAAAAGAACAAAGUAAAGAAAAUCAAUGUAACCACCUGCUCCUUCUUUCAGACAUUUCUCUAUAAGGCAAUUCUAAUAAAGGAAGCAGGCCCAUUUGUGAAAAGAAAAACCAUCAUGCAAGUAAUUUUCAACCAACAAGAUGCAAUGUUUUUCUAUCAAGAAAAAAAAAAAUAAGUAGACCUGCAGUUGAAGAGCAAAGGGCUCCACCUUGAUCAAAGGCAAGAAUCAGUUACCUAGGAAUUCUGAACUCUUUGACAUAAAUGUUCACUGUUCCUCUUCCCCAUGGAGGAAUAGUAAACUUCAUUCUAUCAACUACUAAUUCAAUCGUGCACCUUCAAUAUAUUUUCCCUAAUGAUACUGUUUUUCUCUUUUCCAUAAAUUCAUAAGAAAUAAAUUGUUCUGCUGAUUUCCCUUGUUUCCUUUCAUUGUUUUCUUUAAUAUGAUGUCAGGUGAUAUAAAUAUCUCUAUUUUUUUUUUUUUUUUGCCAAUUACAGUCAGGCAGUCUCUGGUCUACAGCAUGUGACAGCAUUGCCUCUAUUUUAGUUGCACUGUCAAACUCAAAUCCUCUGCUACAAAGAGUUUUCCCAUCUUCUAGAGAUCCUGUUGUUUAGGACCCUGAGAAUUUUAACUGCCACACUGGUUUUGUAUUGUAUUUUAUUUUAACAACAUAUCUUCUGGGCAAUUUAUGAGCAAGUUAAUUUCUUUCACCUCUUUAUUUUAUUAAUUCAAUUAGCUGACCCUCAUCUGGCAGGCAAUGAACUUCAUAACUUCACCUUGAGUGUGUUAAAUAUUUAGACUACAAUGUUUCUCAUCUAGUGACCUCAUAGCUAUGUAUCGUUUCUAAUGCUCAUUGACACACGUCUUGCUUGGGCUUUGCUAACAAUAAUAAAUGUAUUGUUUCUCUUCAGAGAAAUAUUUUCAAACUUAA